rnacentral:rRNA from 1 species
GAGUCUAGCAUGUGCGCGAGUCAUUGGGACUCUAUCGAAACCUAAAGGCGCAAUGAAAGUGAAGGUCCGCCUAGCGCGGACCGAGGGAGGAUGGGCGGUCCCGCGGGACCGCCUCGCACUCCCGGGGCGUCUCGUUCUCAUCGCGAGAAGAGGCGCACCCAGAGCGUACACGCUGGGACCCGAAAGAUGGUGAACUAUGCCUGGUCAGGACGAAGUCAGGGGAAACCCUGAUGGAGGUCCGUAGCGAUUCUGACGUGCAAAUCGAUCGUCGGAACUGGGUAUAGGGGCGAAAGACUAAUCGAACCAUCUAGUAGCUGGUUCCCUCCGAAGUUUCCCUCAGGAUAGCUGGCGCUCGCUUCUCGCGAGUCUCAUUCGGUAAAGCGAAUGAUUAGAGGCAUUGGGGUCGAAACGGCCUCAACCUAUUCUCAAACUUUAAAUGGGUGAGAUCUCCGGCUUGCUUGAACUGUGAAGCCGCGAGAUAUCGGAUCAGAGUGCCAAGUGGGCCACUUUUGGUAAGCAGAACUGGCGCUGUGGGAUGAACCAAACGCCGAGUUAAAGCGCCUAAAUCGACGCUUAUGGGAUACCAUGAAAGGCGUUGGUAACUUAAGACAGCAGGACGGUGGCCAUGGAAGUCGGA